rnacentral:lncRNA from 1 species
CAAACCGCUUCAGAGAAACAGCCAGGCGGGAGCCAAGACUCCGGAAUCGUCCCUCAGGAUCCGCUCGAAGGAGCUCAGAACUGGAAACAUCUGGUGACAAUCGAAUCAGACCGCGAUUUUAGAAUAUGAUGAAGAGGAAAUGUUUGUUUAAGGGUCAGCCCACACCUGCGCGGCAGGUGUGAAGCUCGGGGAGCCGCGGCUUUGGAAGAACCGUCUCAUGGGCGCUCAGAUUGGAAUGUGAUGGCAUUGAGUGACUUCCAGAGUCCUGAUCUCAAGAGGCCCUGCAGUAUGCACCUUUGCCCUUUUGCUUCUCUGUCCUGAGACCAUGAUGGAAGGAAGUCAGUCUAACUUGCUGGAAGAUGAGAGGCCGCAUGGAGGAAAGCCAAGACCCCCAGCCCACUGCCAGCACCAACUGCCAGAUACCCAGUUAUGGACUGAAACCUUGACAAACUGUGAGCCAAAUAAACCUUUCCUCCCUUAACUUUGGGCAAUGAGUAUUUUGUCUCGGCAAUGAGAAAAAUAACUAAGACAGCAGGUUUUUACUUUGUCUUUUUUUU